rnacentral:rRNA from 1 species
UUGGCUCAGAUUGAACGCUGGCGGCAUGCUUUACACAUGCAAGUCGGACGGCAGCACAGAGAAGCUUGCUUCUUGGGUGGCGAGUGGCGAACGGGUGAGUAACAUAUCGGAACGUACCGAGUAAUGGGGGAUAACUAAUCGAAAGAUUAGCUAAUACCGCAUAUUCUCUGAGGAGGAAAGCAGGGGACCUUCGGGCCUUGCGUUAUUCGAGCGGCCGAUAUCUGAUUAGCUAGUUGGUGGGGUAAAGGCCUACCAAGGCGACGAUCAGUAGCGGGGUCUGAGAGGAUGAUCCGCCACACUGGGACUGAGACACGGCCCAGACUCCUACGGGAGGCAGCAGUGGGGAAUUUUGGACAAUGGGCGCAAGCCUGAUCCAGCCAUGCCGCGUGUCUGAAGAAGGCCUUCGGGUUGUAAAGGACUUUUGUCAGGGAAGAAAAGGCUGUUGCUAAUACCGACAGUUGAUGACGGUACCUGAAGAAUAAGCACCGGCUAACUACGUG